rnacentral:rRNA from 1 species
UGCGUAGGCGGUUUGUUAAGUCAGAUGUGAAAGCCCCGGGCUCAACCUGGGAACUGCAUUUGAUACUGGCAGGCUAGAGUGCGGUAGAGGGUGGUGGAAUUCCCGGUGUAGCGGUGAAAUGCGUAGAGAUCGGGAGGAACAUCCGUGGCGAAGGCGGCCACCUGGACAGUGACUGACGCUCAUAUGCGAAAGCGUGGGGAUCAAACAGGAUUAGAUACCCUUGUA